GGCCGGGCCCCGCAGCAUCUGUCAGUCAUGGCGGCGGCGCCUUCGCAGCAGCGGCCCGCGGCGGCCCGGGCCCGGAACCUGCCCUGGGUUGAGAAGUACCGGCCACAGACCCUGGAUGACCUCAUUUCUCACCAGGACAUUCUGAGUACCAUUCAGAAGUUCAUCAGUGAAGACCGCCUGCCACACCUACUUCUCUAUGGCCCCCCAGGGACAGGAAAGACAUCCACCAUCCUGGCCUGUGCCAAGCAACUGUACAAAGAUAAAGAAUUCGGCUCCAUGGUCUUGGAGCUGAAUGCUUCCGACGACCGAGGAAUCGAUAUUGUCCGGGGGCCAAUCCUCAGUUUUGCCAGCACAAGGACAAUCUUCAAGAAAGGGUUUAAGCUUGUGAUCCUGGACGAAGCUGACGCCAUGACUCAAGAUGCCCAGAAUGCCUUGAGACGAGUGAUUGAGAAGUUCACGGAAAACACCAGGUUUUGCCUCAUCUGUAACUACCUGUCCAAGAUCAUCCCUGCCUUGCAGUCACGGUGCACGAGGUUCCGAUUCGGCCCUCUGACCCCCGAGCUCAUGGUUCCGCGACUGGAACAUGUAGUACAAGAAGAGAAUGUGGACAUAAGUGAAGAUGGGAUGAAGGCCCUUGUCACUCUGUCCAGUGGGGACAUGCGAAGGGCUCUGAACAUUCUGCAGAGUACCAACAUGGCCUUUGGGAAGGUGACCGAGGAGACUGUCUACACCUGCACCGGGCACCCACUCAAGACAGACAUUGCCAACAUUCUGGACUGGAUGCUGAAUCAAGACUUCACCACUGCCUACAAAAAUAUCAUGGAGCUGAAGACUCUGAAGGGCUUGGCGCUGCACGACAUCCUGACUGAGGUUCACUUGUUUGUGCACAGAGUUGAUUUUCCAUCUUCAGUCCGGAUACAUUUAUUGACCAAAAUGGCAGACAUCGAGUGAGUGUUUCCCCAGUUUCAUUCUUUUUCUGUCCCCUCUCCUGUUGUAAGCUUUUUAGUUUCAGCUUGUGUACCAUUCCCAUAUGGGACAGUGUGGUUUAGGGUAGUGCCAAGUGCACUGUGGAGAAGGCUGUGUGCUGCCACCAGAGCACAGGGCAGAUGAUGCAGAGGAUGAGCACAGAGUGGACCCUGCGUGGCCGCCCUCACACUGGGCAUGCGAGUCUUUGGAGGCGGCCAGCUACUCUGCUUGCUAAGGCACUGUGGCAUACAGGAGCCCAGUGGAGAAACACAAACAGACUCAGUUUUUCACUUUGCCCAGCUCUCACACUGUCAUUACUCCCCAGUGACGCUGGCAGCUGUCAUUUAAGUGCAGCACACUGGGCGCCAACCAAAUACUAGUAUCACAAGCUCCAAUAGGCUGCCACUAGCUCAUGUAGAAAAAGCAGGUCAUUUCCUAUCACUGUGUUGGGAGUGGCUUUGCUCCCAGUGGCUAGGCAUUCAAAAGUGACAGGAUGAGAUCCGAUGGUGACCUGCUUUCCUGCCCUGCCAUCAACCUCCAGCCUUGCUGCAGUGCCACAGCCAGAGGCAACGUGCAGUGAAAGCCCUCAUCCCAUGCACCCUUCCUCCCUCUGUCGGAAGAGGGAGGAUGGAGUGCAACUCAGAACCUGCUGGUGCUGGGUUUCUAAUGUGUCCUCGGCAGCUUCAAUCAAGUGGCUGAGUACAGGCUUUCUGUUGGCACCAGUGAGAAGAUCCAGCUGGGCUCCCUCAUUGCUGCUUUUCAAGUCACCAGGGACCUGAUAGUUGCAGAGGCCUAGACGUUCCAAGGCCUGGCC